rnacentral:misc_RNA from 1 species
AAACCACAACACGCACUCUCUACUUGUGUACCGACGUUAAGUUACACACGCAAGUGUGUGCUUACUAACUUACACACCAUUGUCCAACCAAUGAUUAAACCAAACUCUGAAGUUUUGGCUGCUGUUAAUCGGCAGUUUUAACCAAGAACAACUCUCAACAACGGAUAUCUUGGCUCUCGCAACGAUGAAGAACGCAGCGAAAUGCGAUACGUAGUGUGAAUUGCAGAAUUCCGUGAACCAUCGAAUCUUUGAACGCAUAUUGCGCUCGACUCCUCGGAGAAGAGCAUGUCCGCCUCAGCGUCGGUUUUCACCCUCACCCCUCUUACUUUUCAAGUAAGUCUGCCGUGUUUGCUCAAACCGGCAAUAGGGGUGGAUCUGGCUCUCCCAACUGAUUUCUAAUCGGUUGGGUUGGCUGAAGCACAGAGGCUUAAACUGGGACCCGUAUCGGGCUCAACUGGAUAGGUAGCAACACCCUCGGGUGCCUACACGAAGUUGUGUCUGAGGACCUGGUUAGGAGCCAAGCAGGAAACACGCUUAACCGCG